rnacentral:rRNA from 1 species
UUCCGGUUGAUCCCGCCGGAGSCAUUGCUAUCGGUGUCCGAUUUAGCCAUGCGAGUUGUACGUUUACCGUAGCAAACUGCUCAGUAACACGUGGCCAAACUGCCCUAUGGACCGGAAUAACCUCGGGAAACUGAGGCUAAUUCCGGAUACCACAUUCAUCCUGGAACUGGAGAAUGUGCGAAAUGCUCCGGCGCCAUAGGAUGUGGCUGCGGCCGAUUAGGUAGACGGUGGGGUAACGGCCCACCGUGCCGAUAAUCGGUACGGGUCAUGAGAGUGAGAGCCCGGAGACGGACUCUGAGACACGAGUCCGGGCCCUACGGGGCGCAGCAGGCGCGAAACCUUUACACUGCACGACAGUGCGAUUAGGGGGACACCGAGUGCGAGGGCAUAGAGCCCUCGCUUUUCUGAACCGUAAGGUGGUUCAGGAACAAGGGCUGGGCAAGACCGGUGCCAGCCGCCGCGGUAACACCGGCAGCCCAAGUGAUGGCCGAUAUUAUUUGGCCUAAAGCGUCCGUAGCUGGCCGCACAAGUUCGUCGGGAAAUCCACUCGCUUAACGAGUGGGCGUCCGGCGAAAACUGUGCGGCUUGGGACCCGAAGAUCCAAGGUGUACGUCCCGGGGUAGGAGUGAAAUCCCGUAAUCCUGGACGGACCACCGAUGGCGAAGCACCUUUGGAAGGACGGAUCCGACAGUGAGGGACGAAAGCUAGGGUCUCGAACCGGAUUAGAUACCCGGGUAGUCCUAGCCGUAAACGAUGCUCGCUAGGUGUUGCGCAGGCUACGAGCCUGCGCUUGU